UAUCACUACCUUCAGUGGAGAAUAACCUCGGGAAACUGAGGCUAAUACUUCAUAGUUGGAAAUUCCUGGAAUGGUUUUCCAUCGAAAGAUAUUUCUAAAUGCAGAAAAUUCGCUGAAGGAUAGGAUCGCUUUCGAUUACGGUUGUUGGUGAGGUAAUGGCUCACCAAGCCUAUGAUCGGUAAGGGCCGUGAGAGCGGUAGCCCUGAGAUGGAUACUGAGACAAUGAUCCAGGCCUUACGAGGCGCAGCAGGCGCGAAACCUUUACAAUGCACGAAAGUGUGAUAAGGUUACCCGGAGUGCUAAAAUUAAAUUUUAGCUGUUAUAGGUGUGUAAAUAACCCUAUGAGAAAGGAGAGGGCAAGGCUGGUGCCAGCCGCCGCGGUAAAACCAGCUCUUCAAGUGGUCGGGAAUAUUAUUGGGCUUAAAGUGUCCGUAGCCGGUUUGGUAAGUUCCUGGUUAAAUCUGGCAGCUUAACUGUCAGUCAGCUAGGAAUACUACUUUACUAGAGGGUGGGAAAGGUUUGAGGUACUCCAGGGGUAGCGGUGAAAUGCGAUAAUCCUUGGGGGACCACCAGUGGCGAAGGCGUCAGACUGGAACACGCCUGACGGUGAGGGACGAAAGCCAGGGGAGCGAACGGGAUUAGAUACCCCGGUAGUCCUGGCCGUAAACGAUGCGUGCUAGGUGUUGGUAGGGCUUUGAGCUGUAUCAGUGCCGUAGGGAAACUGUUAAGCGCGCCGCCUGGGAAGUACGCUCGCAAGGGUGAAACUUAA
rnacentral:rRNA from 1 species